rnacentral:sRNA from 1 species
ACUGCGCUAAGGAUAGUAACGACAUCCUUUUGACAACUCAUAGGUAUUAUAACCUAUGAGUUUUUCAAAAGAUAUAGUGGAUAGCCUGCCGCUGC